ACACCUCAACUCUCAUGGCUUGCUGUGAUGAGCUUGGACUUUGGGGGUCUUGUUGGCCUGUGAGCCAGCUCCUCUUAAAUGAAUUAGCUUGCCAGUGUUUGGUGGCAUCACAGGUGUGAUAACUAUCUAUGCUUGUGGUUUCCCAUCAGAUAACCUUCAGUGAUGGAGGUUCACUGGGGCUUAUAAACAUCUCUCCUCGGUGAGGACAGAUUUUGACU
rnacentral:misc_RNA from 2 species